rnacentral:rRNA from 1 species
GGGGGCUAGUCCGCACGAGCGCACCCUUGUCACUAGUUGCCAUCAUUUGGUUGGGCACUCUAGUGAGACUGCCGGUGACAAACCGGAGGAAGGUGGGGAUGACGUCAAGUCCUCAUGGCCCUUAUGGGUAGGGCUUCACACGUCAUACAAUGGUCGGUACAGAGGGUUGCCAAGCCGCGAGGUGGAGCCAAUCCCUUAAAGCCGAUCGUAGUCCGGAUCGUAGUCUGCAACUCGACUACGUGAAGUCGGAAUCGCUAGUAAUCGCAGAUCAGCAUGCUGCGGUGAAUACGUUCCCGGGUCUUGUACACACCGCCCGAUAAA